rnacentral:rRNA from 1 species
CCUACGGGAGGCAGCAGUGAGGAAUAUUGGUCAAUGGACGAGAGUCUGAACCAGCCAAGUAGCGUGAAGGAUGACUGCCCUAUGGGUUGUAAACUUCUUUUAUAUGGGAAUAAAAUGUUCCACGUGUGGGAUUUUGUAUGUACCAUAUGAAUAAGGAUCGGCUAACUCCGUGCCAGCAGCCGCGGUAAUACGGAGGAUCCGAGCGUUAUCCGGAUUUAUUGGGUUUAAAGGGAGCGUAGGUGGAUUGUUAAGUCAGUUGUGAAAGUUUGCGGCUGAACCGUAAAAUUGCAGUUGAAACUGGCAGUCUUGAGUACAGUAGAGGUGGGCGGAAUUCGUGGUGUAGCGGUGAAAUGCUUAGAUAUCACGAAGAACUCCGAUUGCGAAGGCAGUUCACUGGACUGCAACUGACACUGAGGCUCGAAAGUGUGGGUAUCAAACAGGAUUAGAUACCCCUGUAGUC